rnacentral:rRNA from 1 species
AUUGAACGCUGGCGGAAUGCUUUACACAUGCAAGUCGAGCGGCAGCGCGGGGGCAACCCUGGCGGCGAGCGGCGAACGGGUGAGUAAUACAUCGGAACGUACCCUGUCGUGGGGGAUAACACAUCGAAAGAUGUGCUAAUACCGCAUACGACCUGAGGGUGAAAGCGGGGGACCGUAAGGCCUCGCGCGAUAGGAGCGGCCGAUGGCGGAUUAGCUAGUUGGUGAGGUAAAGGCUCACCAAGGCGACGAUCCGUAGCUGGUCUGAGAGGAUGAUCAGCCACACUGGAACUGAGACACGGUCCAGACUCCUACGGGAGGCAGCAGUGGGGAAUUUUGGACAAUGGGCGCAAGCCUGAUCCAGCCAUUCCGCGUGAGUGAAGAAGGCCUUCGGGUUGUGAAGCUCUUUCGGCAGGAACGAAACGGUCCUUUCUAAUACAGAGGGCUAAUGACGGUACCUGAAGAAGAAGCACCGGCUAACUACGUGCCAGCCGCCGCGGUAAAAC